ensembl:lncRNA
GUAGCUAAGAGAGAGAAGCACUGAGGGGAUGAGUUUAAAUAAAAUUAUUAGGGGAGGCAACUCUGAGAAGAUGACAUUAAAGCUCAGACCUAAUAGUGAGAAGUUAUCAUGCAGAGAGUGGAGAGAAGCCCUCUCCUGCCAAGAUGGAAGCAGUGUAUACACUCUGAGGAGGAAGAGAGCUAGACUUGUUCAAAGAUCUAAGAGAAGACAACUGUGACUGGAGCCUGGCAAACAAAGAGGAGAGAAGGAAGGAUGAACUGGGGAAGAGGAAAAUGAGGGCAGAAGAUGUCUGGUGUCUUGGCAACCUCAAUGUGAUCGGUGUCCCUCACUGUAGCUAGGGUCAGCGAAUAGUAUGGGAGAGCCAGCAUCAAGACUCCUGCCAGGAUGAGUAGGAGAGAAAGCCAGCAGGGAAACAGACACUCACAUCUCUGUCUCUCUCACAUUCAGCUAAGAAGGGGAUAUUGGUGAGGGGGAUAUUUGAGAUUUCUGUCCCAAAGGCAGGAAACAUCAGAGCAUCUUUGUGUUCUGAUAGGCUUGUGAAUGGUCCAGGGAGAGAGAGUUAUGGUUGAGAAGCAAGGAUGGGGCCCAAGAGACAAGUGAAAGAAUAUGAAGAGAGACAAAGAUAGGAAAAAAUCGGACAUAAGUCAAGGUGUGGAAUUACUGGUAGAAGCUUCAAGAACACUGUUCCCUGUCACCCUCACCUCCUCCCUACCUCAGAAUUUCCGAGCUACACCAUCACACUCAUUUACACUUUGACUCUCAAAUUUCUUUCUGGCUUCAAACCAUUGACACAUCCCAUCUGCUUUAAAAUCUCUAAGAAUUCCGUGUAAAUAAUCGUUUACUUUCCUAUGCACAGCCAAGUCAAUACAGGAUUUUUUGGUUUGUUUUGUUAACACAGUUGUCCUACAGUUUUGUUUAUACAACAUAAUGUGAUAAGCAAAACAUUUUAGGACAAAGGAUAAAUUAAAGGUGGCCCCCCAAAGUGGCAAGAUCCAGAAUCACCAUAUAGAGUUUUCCAUACGUUCUUCCUCAGUAUCUUUUUUAUUAUAUCACCAGCA